CACGUAGGGGGCAAGCGUUGUUCGGAAUUACUGGGCGUAAAGGGCAUGUAGGCGGCUUUGUAAGCUUGGCGUGAAAUUCCACGGCUUAACCGUGGGAAUGCGUUGAGAACUGCGAGGCUUGAGUUAUGGAGAGGGAGCUAGAAUUCCUGGUGUAGGGGUGGAAUCUGUAGAGAUCAGGAAGAAUACCAAUGGCGAAGGCAAGCUCCUGGCCAAUGACUGACGCUGAGGUGCGAAAGUGUGGGGAUCAAACAGG
rnacentral:rRNA from 1 species